AAUUAGCUUAUACUAAAUGAUCAAAUGUUUGGAUUUCUUUUGAAAUCACCAAAAAAUACCAUAUAAAUAGAGUUUCUUUUCAUGCUUUAACACUUAAACUUUUCUACAUCAUUCAGCAGUUCCAUUAAACGCCAAGUACUUGUAACAAAAAACAACAAAAAAAAUGUCAAAAUUGAUAGUUUUAUUUUUAGUAGCUUUUGUUAUGAUAGAAGUUAUCAGUCAGGAUCAAAAACCACCAUGCACGAUAGGUGGAAAUAAGUGUUCUCGUGCACUGAAUGCUGUAAGAGAGCAUGUAAUUACGAUGAUACUGCUGGUUUCCAGUGUGAAAGUUCAUCUAAAGAAGAAUUAGAUGUAUUCUAUCAGAUGGCGAAAUAUUAUAACAUUUCCAUGAAUGUUGAGUAAACAUGCAAGAAGUCGUUCACAGCAGUAAAAAAUUUGUGAUUUUUAAUUAUCACCUGUGAAUUUAUAAUGAAAUUAAUAAAGAUAGUUUUUACGCUUGUGUCCAAU